CUGGAAUGGGAAAAAAAUUAAAAAUCAAAUGUUUUGAGAAGAGAAUGAGAAUUGGAAAAUGAAGGAAUCUGAUUAUUUUAAAAAUACCUAUUUAUUUGUGAAAUUUGAAAGAACAAAAGAACAUGUCUGUUUCUGACAACAUCUAUAAACAAAAGGUUUCUUGAGCACAGCUUAUUUACUAUACCUGAAUGUUGUAUCCCUAUAGAAAUGGCACACCACGUUUUUACUUUCUUUGACUUCUUGGAAAAAGUCUCUCUCGCUUGGGAUUUCUCUGUAUUCUCCAUGUCCUUUUGAAAGCCACUCC